UGUAGGAGCUGCCGCAGGCUGCGAUCUUUUGAUGUUGAUCUUUAAAGUCAAAAGAUCGCAGCCUGCGGCAGCUCCUACA
rnacentral:antisense_RNA from 2 species